GUGAAUCAUCGAAUCUUUGAACGCAAAUUGCACUCUCUGGUUUUCCGGGAGGGUAUGCCUGUUUGAGGGUCUGCCUAAAAACAAUCGCAAUGGUUGCUGUUUUAUGGACACUUUCGUGGGAGAUGGGUUAUCUUAAAUUUCGGUUUAAGCGACUUACAACUUUUUUUUACGUUUCUAAGAAUGUUUC
rnacentral:misc_RNA from 1 species